CUCAGUUCGGAUUGGAGUCUGCAACCCGACUCCAUGAAGCUGGAUUCGCUGUAAUCGCGCAUCAGCCACGGCGCGGUGAAUACGUUCCCGGGCCUUGUACACACCGCCCGUCAAGCCAUGGAAGCCGGGAGUGCCUGAAGUACGCGACCGCAAGGAGCGUCCUAAGGUAAAACCGGUGACUGGGGCUAAGUCGUAACAAGGUAGC
rnacentral:rRNA from 1 species